UGGCAUAGUGGUUAAGCAUUCAGCUGCUAACUAAAAGAUUGGUAGUUCAAAUCUACC
rnacentral:tRNA from 1 species